AGAAUCUUUCACUAGAGAGCUGUCCUUCUGCUCACCUCACCAAGUUAGCCACAUUGCCCAGGUUCACCAAAGCUAAUGGGAAGUUUAUCAAAAAGAGGAGCACAAAUUGGACCCAUGGUCUGGAUGACAAGGAAGCAGGACUUUACUGAGCCAUAAUCAGAAUGAUGUUUUGAGCUUCUUGUGGAACAUAGCUGCUUGCAAGAAGAGCUUUGUUCGUCUUGUGAAUCCACCACCCCACUCCCACUGCAGAGAAGCAGGGCCCAACCAGGAAACAUUGGAAAUAAAGGGACAGUUGCAAAUUUUUCAACGCAGACAAAGAAGGCCAUGCACCUAAAAUCAAAAUGUUCCUCCAAAUCACCAAUAUAAACUGCAAUUUGAUGGAGGGCGCAUGAGAAAAAGGUCAGCUAGGGCACACCAACAAAGUACAUUUCAUCAAGAUUACUCCCCAGAUGUGCAGCGAGCUCCCAGACAUUUUGGUAGCAUUCAGACACUAUCAGAAGACAAAGGCAUGAGAUUCCUUAUUCAGCUGCACAAUUAGCAUUUGUCUUGCCACAAUGGACUGAAAUGGCUCCAGAUGCUAGACUGGUCAUUCCCCACACUCAAAAGCCAAAAAUGUAUAAUCCAGAGGGGGAAAGAACACCCUGAUAGUGGAGCCAAAGAGGACCGGGUGGAAAUGACUAUUGUGCUCCAAGAUAAAUGAGAUCCAAGAGCACACAGAACAAGCAGAACUUUCUGAAAUUGACUUGAACUGAUCUUUGCAACAAGAGAAGAGGAGCAGAAAGAUCUGCAGGCUGAUAGAAGGAAUACUAUUAUACACUGUUCUUUUCGCUGAUUAUGAGAAGUUUUCCUGAUAGAUUGGGUAGCAUUGUACCUUUAGCCCCAAAUGUUCAAACUGUAGUGCUGGAUGUGUGGCACAUGAAUCCAUACAGGCACCUAAAUAAUUUGUCCGAUUUUCACAGGCGUCAAGCACUGCAGUGGGAGUUGUGGUUCAGUGAUGUUGGAGAUGAGACUAGUUAUUUACAUUAAAUCCAUAUUUAGGGACAUAAUUACCUCACUUCAGGCACUCACAUGUUGAUAUUUUCUCCUGAGCUCUCACAGUGCUAUUGGGUUUUAUCACAAGCUCUGUGAAAACAAAAAUCAAAGUUUUCACAGCUUAAAAACAGAGGGGGUUAAUUACUGGUAUUUGCUAUUAAUUUGCUGGAUGCUGAAUUGAAAGGAAGAACGAUCUCGCCCAAUUCAAGGGUAACAAGCUUCCUUUCAUCGGGGGGAGGGGCGGAGGAGAAGCUAUCUGAGGGAUAGGAAAUUCCUUAUUAAACUUAAACAAGUAGCGUUCUCUCUGAAUCGUUCUUUCACAGUUAUGGAAUAUGUGGCUCAACUUGAUCAGACUAAACCUUAUGGAGAAAAAGUUUAGCAAGAGCAACGCAGAAGACAGUCAUGCUUGAAAAAAAAUGGAAAACAGCAAUCAAUUAGUUCCAAAAUAAUAACACAGAAUU